CUCCCGGUGGCCAAGCUGGUUUAAGGCGCGAGACUGUAAUCAUCUUGAGAUCGGGCGUUCGACUCGCCCCCGGGAGA